rnacentral:lncRNA from 1 species
AUGCGAGGGGAGGGCGCAUCCAAGACGAGAGCUGUGGAUGAAAGGCUUCCCCUCCCCCGCAGGGCAGAAAGACUCUCUGUUUCAAGGCUAAGAAAUUUGAAUUUCAUGCCCAAAUGUGUGUGGGGGCGAUGUCAAGCAUCUUUGCCAUUUGCAACUCGGUCUACAAUCAGUCAUUCAAUUGUGAAGACAUGGGUCAUGAUAAAACCCACUUUACAAAAUUAAUGUAAGAUGUACUGCAACAUUCCACACUGACAUCAAAUUACGUUAUGUUUUUGCCAUUCUCCAAAUAUAAACCUUUGGAAGAGGAUGCAAAUUUAGACGUAGAUUGCUGCUGAUUCCGUAAGUUAUGUUUCUUAGAGUGAUGACUGCCUCCUUAUUCAAGUGGUCAUGAAAUUUGUUUAAUAUUCUGUUCUUGAAUUUGAAAAGAAGUUAAUAUCAACUUGACUAUCCUGUUUUGUUUUGUUUUUUAAGAAUUGUUCCUCCGACCCCACUC